rnacentral:rRNA from 1 species
CCUACGGGAGGCAGCAGUGAGGAAUAUUGGUCAAUGGUCGGAAGGCUGAACCAGCCAUGCCGCGUGAAGGUCAGUGCCCUAUGGGCGUUAAACUUCUUUUGUGCGGGAGCAAUAAUGGUCACGUGUGGCCAGACGAGAGUACCGUACGAAUAAGCAUCGGCUAACUCCGUGCCAGCAGCCGCGGUAAUACGGGGGAUGCAAGCGUUAUCCGGAUUUAUUGGGUUUAAAGGGUGCGUAGGCUGUGAGGUAAGUCAGCGGUGAAAUGCCCCCGCUCAACGGGGUGAAGUGCCAUUGAUACUGCCUGGCUGGAAUGCGGAUGCCGUGGGAGGAAUGUGUGGUGUAGCGGUGAAAUGCAUAGAUAUCACACAGAACACCGAUUGCGAAGGCAUCUCACGAAUCCGCGAUUGACGCUGAUGCACGAAAGCGUGGGUAUCAAACAGGAUUAGAUACCCGAGUAGUC